rnacentral:rRNA from 1 species
GAGGGUGAAAGCCCAUGACCCAUUGCAAUGCCGUGUUCUGCACGUUAAACAUAGUCGUGUUGGCUUCGGACACACGUUAAAGACGCGAAAAAGCCCUGUUUACGAAUCUAAUGUGAAAGAACUUUACAACCAAUGACGUUGGAUCCCUUGGCAUGCCUGAUCGAUGAAGACCGUUGCCAACUGCGAUAAGUGGUGUGAUGCGCAAGUCUAAAACUUAUAAGUGAACCAUCGAAUUGUUGAACGCACUGCACCGAGCUCUACCCGAGCACGGUAUGUCCCAUUGAGCGCUAUUAAUGUCUUCGAGAGGGCUGAUCUUUGGUUGGCACCCGGGUUCGGAGUCCACAGUGCCCUUGCACUGCGUUCUCUCAGAUGGAUUUGAAUGGUGUCUGGUUGCACUGGAACCUCUAUGUCAUGAGAAUGCAUGGAGUGCCCGUUAAGCGCCUGAUGCCUGGGACAGCACAGAUGAUGGCUGUCCAAGCAUGCUUAAUUGAGAAUGUAGCCUCACUGGGACAAGACAACCCGCUAGACUUAAGCAUAUUAAUCAGCGGAGGAAAAGAAACUAACUAGGAUUCCCUCAGUAACUGCGAGUGAAGCGGGAUGAGCUCAAUGUGUGA